rnacentral:misc_RNA from 1 species
GAUGAAGAACGUAGCAAAAUGCGAUAAGUAAUGUGAAUUGCAGAAUUCAGUGAAUCAUCGAAUCUUUGAACGCACAUUGCGCCCGCCAGUAUUCUGGCGGGCAUGCCUGUUCGAGCGUCAUUUCAACCCUCAAGCCCUCGGGUUUGGUGUUGGGGAUCGGCGAGCCUUUCUGGCAAGCCGGCCCCGAAAUCUAGUGGCGGUCUCGCUGCAGCCUCCAUUGCGUAGUAGUAAAACCCUCGCAACUGGAACGCGGCGCGGCCAAGCCGUUAAACCCCCAACUUCUGAAUGUUGACCUCGCAUCAGGUAGGAAUACCCGCUGAACUUAAGCAUAUCAAUAAGCGGAGGA